rnacentral:lncRNA from 1 species
AAAAAACACAGCAAAUUUUAUAAAUGGACAGAGAAAACUGAAAAAGGGGUAGCGAGAAAGGGAGGCGAACAAAAGAAAAUCCGUAACGCCGCUCCCUCACUCCCUUUCUUCUCCACCAAAAGCCCCAUGACCAUUGAAACUUCACAAAAAAGCUUGUAAAUCACCCCUAUUCAACCGCACCUGAAGCCAAUAAACAUCAAUUUUUCCUUCACCAUUAAGCCUAAUCCAUCGCUACUCCAUAAGAGUUUUCAGAUCAUGGAUUGAGCUUGAAGAAGUCGAGAAAUGGUUUGAGGUAUCCGUUCGAUUUUCUGGUCCAGCCCUAUUCCACAGUUUUGCUCGAGUAUUUGUAAAACUCAGGUUCAUUUUGAGAUCCAAUCCUAAACUCCAGCUUCUUUUAUUUCUUUUCUUAUGUGAAUGUUCUGCGUUGGUUUGUUGUCGCAUUUUAUUUGCGAUUAUGUGAUAACUGGCUGUAUUAAUUUCAAAUUUGUUUGAGUUGGUCCUUUGUUUUAAAUCUUUUAUUAUAAGAAAGUAGUUGAAUUGAUGUUCUGUUUUGCAAAUCUAUACCAACUUAGUACUUAGAUGGGUCAUGAGAGCAUUCAGAAUAACUAAUAAAUUGAAGUGUAGUUGGCAUGAGUGGAAGGUGGUACCCCUUAGUACAAUUAAUUAUCACCUUGUACUCCAUGAAUAAGUACGUUCAUCAUCCAAGCAGUAGAUCAUCUUUCUUGACUAUCAAAACAAGCAAACAUGUUUUCUGCCUAUAGUGAUUAAUUAUCCUUAGGUAGAUAAGCUUCACGUUAUUAAUCAGUAGUACCAUAUCCCGCUCAAGACAUGGGUUUCGUGAGGUUAUUUAAUACUAGUAAUUAUUUUGGUCAUGAAUUAGUGAUAUUUGGAAAAUGAAUUGCUUAAAUUUCAUUUGGAAUCGUUAGAGCCUUUUACUCACCGGUUCACCGUGGGGUUUAGCAUGGUUUAGGCAAUUAUUUAGGAUCUCAGGAGUUAAACAAAUAGGCAAUAUUAAGACGUUUUUGCAUUUUUAUUUCGAGGUAAAAGGCUGUUCUCUUUAGUUUAUAUUCAAGGGAAUAUCUUGUAGAGUUUGUAUAUAUUUUUAUCCGGGGUAUACCCCGAAAUACUUGUAUUUGAAGGCGGACGACAGAACACUUUGAGGACGCAUAGAAUAAUAUUUUAUUUUUGUUUUAUUAGGUGGGGACAACCUCGGGCUUCUUUUGUGUGUUCAUUUUGCUACUUGUGUAUUUUUGCCUCAAUUAGAAUAUUCUAUAAAACUAACUAGAUCUAGUACGCAACCGUGAUUUUCACGGGACUUGGGAAGUGCCUAAUACCUUCUCCCCGAGUCAAAUGAAUCUCCUUACCUGAAUCUCUGUUGUAGACUUAAUUUUAGAGUUCGAAGUUUUUUAAAAGGAAAAAUCAUUUUUUUAAAACGGUUUCCUGUCACACCGAAAUCAAUGUCAGGUAGCGACUCUGCGUUAUUUCCUUUUGAACACAAUUUUGUCACUUUCUAAUUGAAAACCCUUUUGAGCUUCAAAAAUCCUUUUGAUAUUUUAAGAGGAGUUAGUGAAGUUGGUUGAAAAAGAGGUGUGACAAUUAUAGGAGGUUCAUGAAGGGUUUUCCUCUAUCGCCUCACCGUUGACCAAGUUAACACAAAAGGUAGCUGAAUUUCAAUGGUCAGAUGCUUGUGAAAGGAACUUUCAAGAGCUAAAGUCAGGGUUGACUACGUCACUUGUGUUAUUCUUGCCGGAAGGUUCAGAUGAGUUUUUUUCUAUAUUGUGAUGCUUCGAGGGUUGGACUUGGGUUUAUAUUAAUGCAACAUGGCUGAGUGGUUACAUAUGCUUCAAGCAAGUUAAGAACCAUGAGAAGAAUUACCCAACUCAUGACUUGGAGCUUGCAUUGGUGGUGUUUGCAUUGAAUAUUUGGUGGCAUUACUUGUAUGGGAUCCAUAUGGUCAUGUUCAUGGACAAUAAGAGUCUUCAAUAUAUCUUCAAGAAGAAGGAGUUGAAGCUGAGCAAAGGAGAUGGCUUGAAUUACUUAAAGACUAGAGCAUCAACAUUCUCUAUCAUUCGGAAAAGGCUAAUAUUGGAGAUGAUACUCUUAAACGAAAAUCCAUGGGUAGUUUGGCCUCCUGAAGGCGCACCAAAGUACGAUGGCCAAGGAAAUUCACCGAUUGGCUAAUUUGGGAGUCCGGCUUGCAAACUAUGGUGAUUAAGGUGAUUGUGUAAAUUGCAAAAUAGAGUUGACUCCUAGUUGGUACUGGAAAGGAAAAAUAGUAUGACGAUCCAUUUUUGGUGCAAUUGAAGGAAGGAAUUCAUAAACACAAGACCAUGGUGUUCUAUCUUGGUAUGAAUGACGGUAUGCUAAAGUACCGAGGUAGAUUAAGUGUCUUGAAUGUAGAUGGCCUCCAAGAGAGAAUAAUGACUAAGGCUCAUAGUUCCAAUUAUUCCGUACACUUAGGAUCUACAAAGAUGUACCACGAACUUAAGAAAAUCUACUUGUGGAAUGGCAUGAUGAAGGAUAUAGAAGACUUUAUGUCUAGAUGCCUAAAUUGCUAGAAAGUGAAGGCCGAGCACCGGAGACCAGUGGUUUGGCACAAAAUAUAGAAAUUCCAAUAUAGAUGUGGGAGACGAUCAACAUGGACUUUGAAGUUGAUCUAACUCACACACCCCGUAAGUUUGACUCAAUGUGGGUGAUUGUGUACCGACUCACAAAGUCAACACACUUCUUGCCUGUUAAGGCCACUAACAUAACAAAAGACUAUGCUCCAUUUUAUAUCAAGGAUAUAGUUAGAUUGCAUGGUGCUCCAGUUUCCAUAAUCUCGUACCGAGGGGCGUAGUUCACCCACUAACUUUUGGUAGAAAUUUCAGCAAGGUUUAGGUAGUCAGGGGAAUCUUAGUACAACCUUCUAUCCUCAGACUGACGGAUAAGGCGAGUGAACUAUAUAGACACUUGAAGACAUGUUGUGUGCAUGUGAUAUUGAACACAAGGGUAGUUGGAAUGAUCAUUUGCCGCUCAUAGAAUUAGCUCAAAUGGAGCCGUUCAAGGCUCUAUAUGGCAAGAGAUGUAGCUCCACAUGUGAUGGGUUGACGUUGGAGAAGCGAAGUUGAUAAGGCCAGACCUUGUGCAUCAAGCUAUAGAGAAGGUCAAGAUCAUCAAGGAGCGGCUGAAAAUUUCUUAGAAUAGCCAAGAGUUCUAUUCAGACAUACGGUGCAGAGAGUUAGAGUCCAAAGAACAUGAUUGGGUGUUCCUAAAAGUUUCUCCCACAAAAGGCAUAAUGCAAUUUGGGAAGAAAGAGAAGUUGAAACCAAGGUACAUUAGACCUUAUAGUAUUCUAGAAAGGAUUGGCCAAGUGGCUUAUAGGCUUGAGUUACAUCCAGAGAUAUCCUUAGUGCAUCGUGUGUUCCACAUCUCUAUGUUGAAGAAAGCAAUAGGGAUCCGUGACUCAUUGUCCCUGUGGAGACUAUUGAAGUUAGUGAAGGUUUGACCUAUGAAGAGGUUCAUAUUACCAUCCUUGAAAGAACAAGUCGUAGAGGCCACCUAGGAAGCAUAGAAAUGAAGAAAAGAUAUCCUCAUUUGUGUGUAGAGCUAGUUGGCCAUGUUUGAUAACUAGGGAUUAUGAUGUAUUUUACACUCCUUCUUGCUUGAGUUUUAAUUAGAAAUUUGUACAAAAUAGUCCCAAAGACUCAUAUGUGCACUUUAUUGCAGGGUUUGAUCAACAAGGUAACAAAAUGUCAAAAAAGUAGCUCAAAAAGAAGUGAAACAUGCACAAGUACCAAAAACAAGGCCAAGCUUAGUCUAACAAGAUCAGUGCAGCCGCACACCAUUUUGUGUGGUCCGCAAAGAGAAGUUUAGAGAGUAGGCAUUUUAGGAAGCCAAGCAAUGCGGCCGCAAAGUAUUUUGUGCUGGCCGCAUUAAUUUCAUUGCGGCCGCAUUCGACUUUAUGCGGUCCGCAGAGCCCAAGAUUAGAGAGUUGCCAAGUUGGAGGAUGAUGCCCAAUGCGGUUCGCGAUCCAUUUUGUGCGGACCGUAAUAGAAGCCAUCGCGGUCGCUGUGCAUUUUGUACGGACCACGAUAGCCAAUCUCAGAGAGCAGAUUAGUCAGCCAAGAACCUUAGUGCGGCUACACUCAAUUUUGUGUGGUCCGCACUAGCUCCGAAGGGGUAUUUUUGUCCAGAAUUUUCAGCCUAGUGUAAAUAGUUUUUUUUUCCAUUGUUAGGUCAUCAAUUGUAUUUGGACAAAGAGUUGUGCUCAUGCAUAUUUUUCUUUUACCAUUUUGAGUAAUUUUAGCUUAUUGUCAUCAUUGAAUCUUCAAGUUUUAUCUAGUAAUUAAUUAUAAUAGGUUUUUCUUCAUCUAUUUCUUUGUUUUCUUCUACAGUCAUGAGUAUCUAGACCCAUUAGCUAGGGUUGUGACUCAACCCUAGUGUAGGUAAUUGAUGGGUCUUGUGUUUUAAUGCUUGAUUGUUUAUGGGUGUUUGAUAUUUGGACUAAUUUAGGGUUUUAAUGUGGAAUUAGUGGUUGCAAACACUAGUUUAUGCCUAGUUGACUUUGGUUGUUCUUGAGAAAGAGAGCCUAAGUCAAUGAAACUGGUCCAACAAGGAAUUGGGGCGUACUCAAAAGAUUGAUAGCCACAAUUAAAGGGUUAAACCUAGAGAUAGUAAUACCCGACUUGAACCUCUAUUGCUUGCACAAAUUAUCGUACCCAAUUAGUUGUGAGAAAGUCAAUUAGGGCAAAAUCACUUGAAGUACCGAGAGGUGUAAAUGAGUAGAAUCGUGCAAUGGUUAUAUCGUAAUCCCCAAAUGUGACAAUCUAGCCUUAGACUCGAGAAUUCGUCAAUUAUCCACCUAGGAGAAAGCCGCUUCGCUAGUGCCUUUUAACCUAAUUAGACAACCUUUAAAGGUUUAGUCUUAGCUUAACUUAGCUCAAUUUCGCAUCAUAGUAGCAUAAACUUAGAAGUAAUAUCAAAACCAAUUACAAGUAAAAGUGCAAUUUGGAACAAUUACGCAACGUAAAUUUAAAUAGAAACUCGACUCCAAUCUCUAGCUCCUAGUGGAAAUCGAUCCCGACCUUCUGGGGUAAAAGUUGUAUUGAUUACUGUUGCUACUUUAUAGUAGUAUAGGGUUGGCCUCGAUAACUUUCUGGCGCCGUUGCCGGAGAGCUAACGUUUUUGUCUAUCUAUCUAAAUAGUUUUGUGUAGUGUUCUUCUUUCCUCUGUGUUACUAAUUUUUGUGUGUCACAACUUUAGGUACCAAAUGGCAGCAAACAAUAAUGACCCUCUUGGAAAUGUGAUUGCAGGGGAGGAGGUAGAUGAUAAUAGAGAGGAUGAGAUGCCUCUUAUGCCUCAAGGACAACGGAGAGGACGCCAGGCCAAUGCCAAAGAUAAUAUUCUAGACCCUCCUCCGGCACCUACAAGAGUGGCUCAAUGAGUGCUUCCAAACCAAGACUAUUCAAGUGCAAUUGUCCCACCCCGGAUCUGGGAGGGCAAUUUUCAAACCACCAAUGUUAUGUUGACAUUUCUAGAGCAUCGUGGGUAUUUCACGAGCGCUGCCAAUCAAAAUGCUUACAAAUAUCUCAAGGUUUCGUGGAUACUUGUUGGGAGAGCAAGCAAACUAAUGUGUCCGAGGAUGGACUUUGGUUGAGACUCUUCUCUUUCUCACUUAGAGGGAAUGCAUUGGAUUGGCUUGAGUGACUUCCCAACCAUUCCAUCCCUACUUGGGAUGAGUUGGAGGAUAAGUUCAAAGAAAAGGUUUUCUCAUGGGGGCACAUGGCAGCAUUGAGGGAUGAGAUCUUGGCUUUCAAACAAUAGCCCACCGAACCAUUACAUGAGAUAUGGGAGCUAUAGAACAAUGGUGAAAGAAUUCCCCAACAAUGAUAUGACUAAGGCGUUGAUCGAAUAGACUUUCUAUAGGGGCAUUAACAUAACAAACCAAUGCAUAGUGAAUCAAUUUGCUGGGGGAAGUUUUAUGAAACUGACUUGUGAUGAGGCUUGUGACAUUCUUGACGAGAUGGCUGACACUUCCUCCGCUUGGCAAAGUAGAGCCAAUGUGCCCCAGGGUGACUCCACAUUCACUUAUUUAUCCAAAGAGUUACAUGAUCAUGAGAAGUUUAUAGUUGAGCUGACAACUACAAUGAUCCAACUAGCAAAGGCACAAUUGCAAAAAGUUCAAAAUCCUUGCCAAGUGAAUGCUAUGGAGGGUGUCAACAUGCUAGUAAACAAAAGAAGACAAAGAGGUCAACAAAAUCGAGGGAGUUCAGAUCAAUUUGACAAUAAUUAUGGUGGACUCCAAGAUGAUGGUUAUGAUGGGCAUAACGAAGAGGUGCAAUAUGUGAAUAAUUAUCAAGGCCAAAGGGGAAAUUCUUCCAACCAAUAUUAAUGGAGACCCUAAGGAAAUUGGGGCAAUCAACAACAACAAGGCAAUGGUAAUUGAGUAAACAACAACCAAAAUUCCAAUUGGGGCAAUCAGAACAAUAAUCAAAAUAAUUAGGGUAAUGGAAUGGAAACAGCAACAACAUGGGUGAUGACAAUAAUCAAGGAGAUUGGAACAAUGGAAAUCAAGGAAACCGGGGGCAAGACUUUCAAAGGCCCCCAAUGUAUUAACAACCGAACAAUCCACCCCCAUUUCCAUCACAAGGGCCUAGUUCUUCCAACAAUGACAUAGGGAGAAUUGAAAUUAUGUUCAAAUAGAUGACGAAAAAGACUGCGGAUUCUAAAGCUCAGUUGUCUUCCUACAAUACUUCAAUUAGGAAUUUGGAGGUUCAAUUGGGCCAGAUCUCCUAAUCCUUGAAUACUCGCCCUAAGGGGGCUCUACCAAGUGAUAGAGUAGUCAACCCGAAGGGUGGGACCAAUCAUAUGAUGGCAGUAACUACAAGGAGUGGACGGGGCGGUGAUGAGAAUGCCUCUAAACAAAAACAAAUUUUGUGUAAUGAAGUUGAGUUGCAAGAAGAUGAAGUUCCUUUGGUGGUUGAAAAUAUGAUUGAUAAGAAUGUGAAUAAAGAAGUGAGGAUUGAUAUUCAAGAUGCCGAGGUGGAAACUCAAAAUAACGUGACCCCGUCUAGGGAACACGUAAUAGGCAUGCCGGAGCCGGUUGUGCCUAAAGCCAAGGCUCCUUUUCCAAGGCCACCUCCACCUUAUCCUCAAAGGCUCACAAAGAAGAAAAUUGAGAAUUAAUUCAAAAAGUUCAGUGACAUAAUGAAGAGCUUAUCAAUUAAUAUGCCUUUGGUGGAUGCUCUUGAACAAAUGCCGGGCUAUGCAAAAUUCAUGAAGGACUUGGUGACAAAGAAAUGGUCCAUGGAUUGUGAAACUAUAAAGAUGACCACCAAGUUAGUGCAAUUAUGCACUCAAUGGACCUGAAGCUAGAAGAUCCUAAUGUUUUCACCAUUCCUUGCACUAUUAGGAGUGCAGACUUUGUUAAAGCUCUAUGUGAUUUGGAUGAAAGUAUCAACUUGAUGCUCUAAUCAAUUUUUAAGACUUUAGAUAUUGGGCAACCGAGGCUGACUUCCAUGAGAUUGUAAAUGGUGGUUAGAACUAUGAAUCCAUUGGGUAUUGUUGAUGAUGUUCUUAUCCGGGUGGAGAAAUUUAUCUUGCUAGCUAAUUUUGUGAUCUUGAAUUGUGAGGUAGAUUAUGAAGUCCUGAUCAUAUUUGGAAGACCUUUCCUUGCUACGGUGAAGGCCUUAGUUGAUGUGGAAGCAGGGGAACUUACCUUCUGCGUGGGUGAUGAAAAAGUGGUCUUUCAUGUGUGCAAGUCAAUGAAGCAGCCCAACAGUUUUGAGGUGUGCUCUUUUGUGGAUCUUGUCACGGCAGUGAUAGUUGAUGAUACUAGUGUAGUGAUCGAUGUGGAGAACCUUCUAGAGGGCAUAUUGUUUAAUGUUGACGACAAUGAUGAUGAGGGCGGAAUGGAGUGUGUGAAUGCUUUACAUAGAAUAGGCUCUUAUUCUUAUGAGCCUAGGAAACUCUCUGGAUCUUGAAAGUAGAAAGACUCCUCCAGCAAAGCCUUCAGUAGAGGAACCUCUGCUGUUGGAGUUGAAGCCAUUUCCUCCACACCUCAGGUAUGAGUUCUUAGGCCCCAGUGCUACUUUGUCAGUUAUUCUUUCUUCUUGUCUUACUAACAUGCAGGUUGAUACCACAUUGGCGGUGCUUCAAAAGCGGAAAAAGAUAAUUGGAUUGACCUUAGCUGAUAUUGGGGGAAUACGCCUCCGCCUUCUGUAUGCAAAAGAUCAUUCUGGAAGAUGAUGCAAAUCCCUCAUUGGAACAUCAGAGGAGGUUGAAUGAAGAAAUGCAAGAAGUUGUGAAAAAGGAGAUGAUCAAGUGGUUGGAUAUCGAGGUUGUGUAACCCAUUUCUGAUAGUUUUUGGAUUUCGCCGGUGUAACGUGUACUGAAGUAGGGUGGCAUGGCCGUGGUUUCAAAUUCGCAAAAUGAGUUGAUUCAUACUAGAACAGUCAUCAAUUGGAGGGUAUGCAUGGACUACCGCAAGUUGGACAAAGUGACCCGCAAUGAUCACUUUCCAUUGCCUUUUCUUGAUCAGAUGUUAGACCGACUUACUGGGCAUGCCUUUUACUUUUUCUUGGAUGGAUACUCUGGAUACAACCAAAUCUUGAUUGCUCCGAAAGAUCAGGAGAGGACCCCAUUCACUUGUUCAUUUGGCACCUUUGCCUUUUCUAGGAUGUCUUUUGGGUUGUAUAAUGCACCUGCUACAUUUCAGCGGUGUAUGAUGGCCAUUUUCACUGAUAUGGUGGAAGAUAUCUUAGAGGUGUUCGUGGGAGACUUCGGUGUUAUGGGUGAUUCAUUUGAUACAUGUUUGAAAAAUAUGGAUAGAGUGUUGGGUCAUUGUGAAGAAACCAAUCUUGUUCUUGAUGGUGGAAAAGGACAUAAUUCUUGGGCAUAAAAUUUCAAAGCAUGAUGUAGAGGUGGAAAAAGCAAAAAUUGAUGUGAUUUCAAGGCUCCCUCCCCCUACCUCUAUCAAGGGAGUUCGUAUUUUUCUUGGGCAUGCAUGGUUCUAGCGGAGAUUUAUCAAAGACUUUUCGAAGGUAGUGAACCCCUUAUGCAAGUUAUUGGAAAGAGAUCCCAAGGUUGUGUUCAGUCAGAGAUGUAUGCAAGCCUUUGAACUUCUAUAUUACAAGUUGACCACCAGUCUUAUCAUUACCACACCUCGUUGGAGCUUUCCCUUUGAGCUCAUGUGUGAUGCGAGCGAUGUUGCAGUCGGGGCGGUUUUGGGUCAAAGAGUGAACAAAAUAUUUCAUCUGGUGUACUAUGCGAGCAAGACAAUGAAUGAUGCUCAAGUGAUCACACGGUGACCGAGAAAAUACUUUUGGUUAUUUUGUUUCCAAUGUAAAAUUUCCGGCCGUAUCAUAUGGGUGCUAAGGUUAUUAUUCAUACCGACCAUGCUACACUCCGGUACUUGAUGAAGAUAAAAAAAAACCAAAGCUAGACUGAUGUGAUGGGUCUACGGUGACUGAGAAAGAACUUUUGGCUAUAGUGUUUGCAAUGGAGAAAUUUCGGUCAUGUCUUAUGGGUGCCAAGGUCAUAGUCUAGAUCAUGCCGCACUCCGAUACUUGAUGACGAAGAAGUAUUCCAAAGCUAGACUAAUGCGAUGGGUCUUGUUACUUCAAGAGUUUGAUUUGGAGAUUGUGGACCGAAAGGGUAGUGAAAACCAAGUGGCAGACCACUUGUCGCACUUGGAGAAGGAGGGGAUACCUCGAGAUGGCCUAUAGAUCAAUGAUUCAUUUCCCGAUGAACAACUCCUUUCGGUAUUGGUGAAUGGUAUUCCAUGGUUUGCGGACGUUGCUAAUUUCCUUGUGAGUAAUAUAAUCCCGUGUGAGCUCUCUUCUAACCAAAGGAAGAAACUCAAACGGGAUAGUUUGUAUUUCUAUUGGUAUGAGCCAUACUUGUUCAAGAUUUGCACGGAUGGUGUGAUCCGAAAAUGUGUCCGGGAGGAAGAGCAAUUGAGUAUCUGGGAGGCUUGUCAUUCCUCUCCCUACGGUGCCUAUCAUGGAAGGGCAAGGACGGCUUCUGAAGUUAUUAGUUGUGGGUUUUAUUGGGCAACUUUGUACAAAGAUUCAAGUGAACUUGUGAAGAGGUAUGACGAAUGUCAAAUAGCAAGGGGAAUUUCGAAGAAAGAUGAGAUGCCUCUCAAUACCAUAGUUGUAGUUGAUAUCUUUGAUGUAUAAGGCAUUGAUUUUAUGGGCCCAUUUGUUAGCUCGUGUGGGAACAUAUACAUCCUUAUGGCGGUUGACUAUGUUUCAAAGUGGGUUGAAGUCGUGGCUCUACCCAACAAUGAGGCUCGGAGUGUUGUUUCAUUUCUUAAGAAGAGAAUUUUUACAAGGUUUGCCACUCUUGAUGCAAUCAUAUGUGAUGGGGGGUCUCAUUUUUUGUACUAGAGCUUUUGAUACUUUGCUUGAGAAGUAUGGUGUCAACCAUAAAGUUUCUACUUCUUAUCAUCCUCAAGCGAGUGGCCAAGUUGAAGUCUUAAACAGGGAAAUCAAUAGCAUAUUGUCAGAGACUAUCAAUGGAAAUAGGCUGGUCAAAGAAGUUGGAUGAUUCUCUAUGGGCUUACAGGACUGCUUACAAGACUCUGAUUGGUAUGUCUCCAUAUUAGUUGGUGUUUGGGAAAGCUUGCCAUCUACCGGUUGAGUUAGAGCACAAGGCCAUGUGGGCCUUGAGGAAGCUAAAUCUUGAAUGGGAUGUGGCAGCAAAUCUUCGUGUGAAGCAGCUUAAUGAACUUGAUGAAUUCUGAUUCCAUGCCUACUCCAGUUCGUCCUUGUACAAGGACAAGAUGAAGUACCUUCAUGAUAAAUAUGCUCGUAGUAAGGAGUUCAAAGUGGGUGAUUUGGUUCUCUUGUUCAGCUCUCAAUUACGUCUAUUUCUGGGAACGCUUAAAAUGGAGUGGACCUUUUGAAGUGGUAUAUUUGACUUCGUUUGGUGCACUUGACUUGAAGAGAAAAAAUGGGGAAGUUUUCAGAGUGAAUGGGCACAGGGUCAAGCACUACUUGGGAGAAAUUGAUGAUAGCCACGUGGUGGCACUUCUUCAUCUCAAAUAAUUUGAUGGUAACAUGCGUCGUGCAGCAACGUUAAUCAGCCGCUUCUUGGGAGGCAACCCAUGUGUUUUUCUUUUUUUUUCUUUGACUUUUAUUAUAGUGUAGGAUUUAUUUUUGGGACUGACUAAUUGUGAGAUGUUGUAGGAUUGUGUUGAUGCAAUGCAAGAAAAAGUUGGAAACUGCUCACUCUCUGAAAUUGGCAAUGCGGACGACACUCAUUUUGUGCGGCCGCAUAGACCUUUGUGCGGGGGCAAGAAAUCAAUUCGGACUGCACUGGUGAUUUGACAAAAGUUGGGAUUCUUUGAUGUUUACCACCGUGACCGCAUUGCAUUUUGUCCGGUCCGCGGAGGUCCACUGCGGUUGCAUUGCAUUUUGUGUAGUCCGUAGUAAUCAAUUGGUCAGUGCUUUAUGGUUUUGAGCACCACGUACUACUGUGUUAUUUUGUGCGGUCUGCGAUGGGUAGGUAUGCUGGGACCCUGGACCUUUUUCUAUAAAUAGGACCUGAGGCCCUACAUUUGAACUUGUCGAUACUUUUCAUCUCAGAAGCAAAAAAAGAUUAUUGUACAUCUAACUAAAUUGCGCGCAAUCAACUGCUAAGGCUCAUUAAGCAUCACUACAUCUUACUUCUAGUACCUUUAAUUCCCUCUCAUUUGUUUAUUUUUAUUAUUUUCUUUGAAUAUUUGUCUUUCUUAAUUUUUCUUCCUUCAUUUACCGUUUUCUUUUAAUUUUGUAACUUAGGUUAGUUAAAUAAUGUUUUAAUUAGGACUAGGUAGUUAAAACACUAAGCCAACGACUAGGGACUCAUUAAUAGGUGUCUAAGUGAACUAAAAUUGAACAAAACAUAAACCCUAGGUUUGUAUUCUUGUUGGGCACUCAAUGGAUUUUUUGUGGUCCGUGGUGCCUUUGUGCGGUCCGCAAUGCUAUUUUGUGCGGACUGCAAUGGAUAAAGUCCUGAAAGCUGACAUUUGAGGAUCGUGAAAGCAUUGGAUUUUGUGUGGUCUGCGGUGCCUCAAUGCGGACUGCAUCGCCUUUUUAUGCGGUCUGCGGUGCAUAUAUUCAGAGAGUGGGUAGUUUGAACCCUACAUUUAUACGGACUGCAAUGGAUUUUUUGCGGUCCGUAACAGCCUCUUUGUGGAUGCACUGCAUUUUGUGCGGUCCACACUCUGCAAUACUUAAAUUGUCUGGAAUAUAUUUUUCCUGCAACUUUGAAUUUCAUUCUUUCUAUUGAGACUAACAAAGCAUGACUGAAUGUUUGAAGACAAUGGUGAAAUCAAGAGGCAAAUGUGGUAAACAAACAGUAAAAGGAGAGUCCUCCCGAGGUGAGAAACAAUGAAUGUUAAGAUUGACCCCAUAAGUCCAACAGAACAUUAAAAACACAAGGAUGAUUCAUCCAGCUAGACCCAGGAUGCAGCCCAGGAGCCAGUCUAGGUCCCAGCAGAGCCACAGACCAUAAGGAGUCAGUCACAGGUUCCCGGGCAUACAAAGGACCAAGGGACCCGAUUCAGGGUCCCAUGCAGACAAACGGCCAAUAUGGAGUCUCUUUUUCCUCUUUCCCUCCAUUUUGUGCUUAUUUUUCUUAGUUGGCAUUGAGGAUAAUGCCAGCUUUCAUUUGAGGAGUUAAGCCUUAUUUGAAUUUGGAUGACUGUACACAUGAAAGAUUUUAUGGUUUUCUUUUUUUUAUCUUUGG